AUGCUGACUCGUUUGCCUGAUGGGUGUGUGACUGCCCUCUGUUGGAUGAAAUUAGAUCUGCUCUUAUAUGUUAGACUGUCUUGCCCUCUAGUGGUUUGUGCAGAAGAUAGUAAUGAAGACUUUGGAGAAUACUGCAUGAAGAAUCAGGAUGAACACGUCUUGUCUUUUCGACUCUGUUCUCAUUGCAACAAACACAGGAAAGGAGAAGAAAGGGACACAGCCCCCGGGCUCACUUGUGAGGUGAGUGGAACCUGCAGAUCCGAGGGUUUCCCAGUCUGUAGACCUGCAGCUGGAAUUUGAAGAGUGUGUCAGCUUCCUGUGUAACCUUGGUUGUUUCUUUACCUUCACUUUGAAAGUAAGAUUGCAGCUCUUAACUCAAAGAGUUGUUAUGAGGAAUAAUUGCACUGGUCUAGUGCAGUCCCUGAAACAUAUCUGCUAUUCAGUAAACAGAUUGAGCACCUUUUUCCCUUUUCUUUUAGAUUCCACCCCAAAUCACUUCAAUGCACUUUGUUCAAGGCACUAUUUGAAGCCUAAUGCCAAUGAUAUGCAAUUCUUUCUGCUAAUAUUUGGUAAUUGAUGGUCCAAAUCCCAGAGACUUGUGAAUAGACCUGAGGGCUUCAACCCUUAUAUCAAAGAUCAUAUUUAAUGUCAAAAUAGGAAUAAUGAUAGCUAACCUUUACGUGGCGUUUACUGUGUGCCAGGCACUGUUCUAAGCACUGUCCGUAUGUUCCCUCACUGAAUCCUCACAGCAAUCCUACAAAGUAGGUAUUAUUAUUUUUCUUUUUAAGGCACAGGAAGAUUAAAACUUGCUCAAGGUCACACAGCCAAUAAUUGGUGAAGUUGGGAUUGGCGUAGCAGUGAUGCACUGACGCAGUACAUCUCAAAGUCAGAGGGAAUUUAUGAAGGCAGGAGCAAGAAGAGCACUGUAUCUUAUAUUUCAUUCAAGGUCAUAGACUCUGCAACAUGAACAACAAAAAAAGGAAGAAUAAAUAUUGGAGAGAAAAAUAUAAAAGCA
rnacentral:lncRNA from 1 species